AACAACGUCCCCUUCCGCGAAGAUGACGAUUUCAAGACUCUCUACCAUCUCACUGAACUAACCGACCGACGUUUACAAGUACUAAGGCCGUUUACGGUGUUAUCUGUGGAAAAUUGCAGAAAAUUUUCGAUCUCCCGCCGAUGGUUGGACAAUGGAAACGAUUCGCGUCGUGGUGGACGCAUUAAUUGGGAGAAUGACGUAGCAGAACUCCUAAUAGGAUCUUUACGAGUCGAUACAGCCUUGCUACCGUUCAGAAGGACAACGUUUAAAACGAUUCAUCUCAGAUACCCAAGACGACUUCGAGUUCGACUAGCUAUCGGGGACAUCUCUUACACAGUGUAUGCAAAAAUAAAAGCUCAUUUAAAUUG